rnacentral:rRNA from 1 species
UACAGAGGUCCCAAGCGUUGUUCGGAUUCAUUGGGCGUAAAGGGUGCGUAGGCGGCCGGGUAAGUUGGAUGUGAAAUCCUGGGGCUUAACCUCAGAAUUGCAUUCAAUACUGUCUUGCUAGAGAGCUGUAGAGGAGACUGGAAUUUACGGUGUAGCAGUGAAAUGCGUAGAUAUCGUGAGGAACGCCAGUGGCGAAAGCGAGUCUCUGGGCAGCAUCUGACGCUGAGGCACGAAGGCCAGGGGAGCAAACGGG